rnacentral:rRNA from 1 species
UGGGCAACCUGCCCCUGGCUCUGGGAUAACUCCGGGAAACCGGAGCUAAUACCGGAUACGAGACCGAUUGGCAUCUUUACGGUCUGGAAAGUUUUUCGGCCAGGGAUGGGCUCGCGGCCUAUCAGCUUGUUGGUGAGGUAAUGGCUCACCAAGGCGACGACGGGUAGCCAGCCUGAGAGGGCACCGGCCACACUGGGACUGAGACACGGCCCAGACUCCGUACGGGAGCAG